rnacentral:misc_RNA from 1 species
AAGUCGUAACAAGGUUUCCGUAGGUGAACCUGCGGAAGGAUCAUUAACGAAUAACUAUGGCGUUGGUUGUAGCUGGCUCCUCGGAGCAAUGUGCACGCCCGCCAUUUUUAUCUUUCCACCUGUGCACCGACUGUAGGUCUGGAUACCUCUCGCCUCCGGGCGGAUGCGAGGGUUGCUCGUAAGGGCUUCCCUUGAACUUCCAGGCUCUACGUCUUUUUACACACCCCAAUAGUAUAAUGCAGAAUGUAGUCAAUGGGCUUCUCAAGCCUAUAAAACACUAUACAACUUUCAGCAACGGAUCUCUUGGCUCUC